AAAGUCGUAACAAGGUUUCCGUAGGUGAACCUGCGGAAGGAUCAUUAAUGAAUUUUGUAGUAUUAUGCUCUGCAUGUUACUUACACUAUUUCUUACCCUUUUGUUUACCAUUCUUAGUUGCUUUGGCAGUAUGCUUUUCAGUAUCUGCCAAAGAAACCUUAUUAAACACUUUGUUAUCCAAUAAUUAGGAAUUCUAUUGUCUGAUUUAUUACUUAAUGUAUAUAAAACUUUUAACAACGGAUCUCUUGGUUCUG
rnacentral:misc_RNA from 1 species